CCAUAAUUUAAUGGUAGAAUGUUAGCUUCCCAAGCUGAAUGUACGGGUUCGAUUCCCGCUGGAU
rnacentral:tRNA from 1 species